rnacentral:rRNA from 1 species
UGGCGGCAUGCCUAACACAUGCAAGUCGAACGAGAUCUUCGGAUCUAGUGCGCACGGGUGAGUAACGCGUGGGAACCUACCUUUUAGUACGGGACAACGUCUGGAAACGGACGCUAAUACCGUAUACGCCUCCGGGGAAAGCUUGCCGCUUAAAAGAGGGCCCGCGUCUGAUUAGCUUGUUGGUAAGGUAAUGGCUUGCCAAGGCUACGAUCAGUAGCUGGUCUGAGAGGAUGAUCAGCCACACUGGGACUGAGACACGGCCCAGACUCC